AUGGACACCUGGAUCUUCUGCUUUAUGGCCAUUUGUAUCAUGGUAGCAAAGCACACAGAUGCUGGGGUCAACCAAACACCGAGGCACAAGGUCACAGAGAAGGGACAAGCAGUGACUCUGGAAUGUGAACCAAGUUCAGGCCACAGUGCACUUUACUGGUACAGACAGACCUUGGUGCAGGGACUAGAGCUGCUGAUUUACUUCCGCAGCCAGUCUCCUGUGGAUGAUGGAGUGAUGCCCAAGACUCGGUUCUCAGCUGAGAUGUCUAAUGCCUCAUUCUCCUCUCUGAAGAUCCAGCCCACAGAACCUGAGGACUCAGCCCUGUAUCUCUGCUCCAGCAGCAUAGACACAGCGCUGCAGAACUUCCCCUCCCUUUGCAGAAACUCUGGGGCUUCCCUUCCUCUCAAGUUCCCAGUAGUUCUGAGGAAAGCCUUCAAUGAUCCUCCCUUUCAACAGAACUAG